AAAUAAGAAGCAAUAAUGCAUUUAAUUUCGACUUAAAAGAAAGAGUUACAAAACUCCUUAUUUA
rnacentral:tRNA from 1 species